rnacentral:rRNA from 1 species
UACGUAGGGGGCUAGCGUUGUCCGGAUUUAUUGGGCGUAAAGAGCGUGUAGGCGGCCAGGUAGGUCUGGUGUGAAAACUCGAGGCUUAACCUCGAGAUGUCAUCGGAAACCAUCUGGCUAGAGUCCGGAAGAGGAGAGUGGAAUUCCUGGUGUAGCGGUGAAAUGCGCAGAUAUCAGGAGGAACACCGAUUGCGAAGGCAGCUCGCUGGGACGUAACUGACGCUGAGACGCGAAAGCGUGGGGAGCAAACAGG